rnacentral:lncRNA from 10 species
UCUGACCACAAACAACCCACCUGAGGAGGCCCUGCUGCUCCCGGAGGGUGCUCCUGCCAGAGUUCUCCUAGUUCCUUGCAAGGAGCCCUGGAAAAACAAUCCCACCCUGGGUCUAACAUAGUCUCGGGGACUUUUAAACCAAUGCCCAGCUAGAAAAAACAUCUCAGGCAGUUCGCGGAUAGAAGAGGAAAUAAUAUUAAGAGCCUGCCAUAUGUUGAAUGUUUACUAUGUCUCAGCAGCAUAUAAAUGCUUUAGUUUCUUACAGAAGCCCUCCAAGCAUAUGCUUACAAAAUUUGAAGACCAC